rnacentral:rRNA from 1 species
ACUCGCCUGCAUGAAGUCGGAAUCGCUAGUAAUCGGAGAUCAGCUACGCUCCGGUGAAUGUGUUCCUGAGCCUUGUACACACCGCCCGUCACGUCAUGGGAGCCGGGAGUGCCCGAAGCCGCCAUAUUUCAGUGGUGUCUACGGCAAGAUCGGUGACUGGGACGAAGUCGUAACAAGGUAGCCGUAGGAGAACCUGCGGCUGGAUCACCUCCUUUCUAAGG